rnacentral:rRNA from 1 species
UCCCAGCCGUAAACGAUGAGCACUAGGUGUAGGGCCCUUGAGGCUCUGUACCGUAGCUAACGCAUUAAGUGCUCCGCCUGGGGAGUACGCUCGCAAGGGUGAAACUCAAAGGAAUUGACGGGGACCCGCACAAGCGGUGGAGGAUGUUGUUUAAUUCGAAGCAACGCGAAGAACCUUACCUGGGCUUGACAUGCUGGAAGUAGGAACCCGAAAGGGGGACGACCUGUACCCAG